rnacentral:rRNA from 1 species
UACGGGGGGGGCAAGCGUUGUUCGGAAUUACUGGGCGUAAAGGGCUCGUAGGUGGCCAACUAAGUCAUACGUGAAAUCCCUCAGCUUAACUGGGGAACUGCGCCUGAUACUGGUUGGCUUGAGUUUGGGAGAGGGACGCGGAAUUCCAGGUGUAGCGGUGAAAUGCGUAGAUAUCUGGAGGAACACCGGUGGCGAAGGCGGCAUCCUGGACCAACACUGACGCUGAGUGAGCGAAAGCCAGGGAGCAAACGGG